UUGAAGUUUAUUGAAAUCGACAUGAUCUACCUAUUAAAUACCUAGUUGAUGGCAGUCACAUAUAGAGUAAUUGUACCAGUAAAAACAAGCUUUCACAAAUAGUCAGUCAAGCGGUUUUUUUCAUAAAACACUCAGAUAACGUUUAAUUUAAACUUAUUGACGGCAGAUUAUAGGUAAAACUGUUGAAAUUUUUCUCUGUACCAAGGACAUAAAAUAUAAUAACAUCUGAAAAGUGCGAUACAAUACAAUUCAGAGAGUGAACGCGGAUUCUCCGAUCAAAGAUAGAUGAUUACAUAGCUUCACGUGGAUUAAUCGAACUGCACUAAGUAAUAAUUACAUCAAUUUAUAAACAUGAAAGAUAAAGUAGGGGAAUGUAUGCAGAAGAUAAAUUGAAGAAAACGUAGAAUGGAUUUGAUAUCUGAAUUGAACACGGGUCGUCGUCGGAGCAUCGUGGAUGCUAUCGAGGACCCAGUCCCUAGACCAGACUCAUCUGCAAUGAAUAAAGGAGUUCCGAAAGGUUCUGAUAUCUUUCAGGAAGCUUUAACUUUAGCUUAUGAUGAUAUGAGAAAGAAAAAGAAACUUGAAAAAAGUAAGAGUGAACAAUAUGAAUCCGACGAGGAUUUUAGUGAUGAAGAAAGAGAUGUUGUGAGAGAUAUAGACACAUUCAGGAAAUUUUCUAUGGAUUAUUCUGCUAAAAGAAAUGCAGGUCACCCAAGGAUAUCUCGUGUUGAAGUGAGCCCUCGGAAUCGUAUAUUUUCAGACAGCUCUGUUACUAGUGUAAACAAUGAGAAAAAACUUUCAAGGAGGCAUAGUAUUGCAACAAUACCUUUCCAGGAAUCUAAAAAUAACAACCGAAAAUAAGAGACGUUAUUUUUCGGUCGAAACUUGAUGUUUUAUAGAUGUCUUGAGAUGGAGAUGGAUAUGUGUGACAAUUGUGUCCAAUAGGGCCUCUUUCUUGUCAGCGAUUUGUUUAUUUUAAAAAAUCUAUACAGUAUUGUUAUAAAUGUUGUAUUUGAAUAUAUUAAUAUUUACUGGAGAUUUCGUCCAAGCAUUUUAUCCAGACAGUAAGUAAAUUAGGACGUGUGAUAUAAACUUUAAACAUUUACUUAUUUAUACACUUUUAUAUUUAUUGUUUUAUAUAUCCAUUAAAUGUAUAGGGACGGCUUUGGUUUUAAUUAUUAAGAGUCCUUGAAUCAAAACUAGGUGACCAGCAAGUUAUAUGCUAUACAAUUGGAACAGCUUUGGCUAUCAAACAACCCAUUAGCAUUCAAAACCAUAGACAAGGGAACCAACUUUUGGGUAGGGACCAGCACAAAUUAUGGAAAGAGUUCAACUACCCCCUUAUCCUCUGUUAAUCUGCCUGUAUUCCAAACUGUUUUAAUAGAAUGUUUAAAAGAUGUGAUAUAGUAAUCAGUCUAUCUAAAACAAUAUUGUUACGUGUGUGUUUAUAUGAAAAGUUUUGAAACAAGACACCUAGUUUUCUAAAUCGAUUGGUUUGUUUACAAGAUCAUAUACCGAAUUUUAUUUUUGUGUGUAGUUUUUAACAAAGAAAACGCCUAGUUUUAUCCCAUAUCAAUAACAUUAGUGUAGUUGUUAACACUUUGACUUCAGAGAUCUUUUCAUAUUUUUUUCUCUUCAGCAGUAGAUGAAUGCAGCUAUAUCUUCCUUGAUUUUGGAACUUUUGAAGAACAGCUUCUGGUUGGUUAACUUGUUUAGACCCAAGCACAUGGAUCUCCUAUGAGCCACCAACAGUUUGAGUGUCCACCACCACACACGUAUGAACUAGUGGGACAUUUAGAGCAGUCACAAGUAUAACAACGCACAGUAGCAUUAAGCAUUCAGGCAGAUCCAGGAUUUCCCUCGACAUUUGUUAAACUGUAGGAGGUGCCGUCUUGACUGGAUUUAGCUACAACAGUAGAUGAAUGCAGCUAUAUCUUCCUUUGAUUUUGGAACUUUUGAAGAACAGCUUCUGGUUGGUUAACUUGUUUGGACCCAAGUACAUAGAUCUCUGCCACCAACAGUUUGAGUGUUCACCACCACCACACACGUAUGAACUAGUGGGACAUUUAGAGCAGUCACAAGUAUAACAAUGCACAGUAGCAUUAAGCAUUCAGGCAGAUCCAGGAUUUCCCUCGACAUUUGUUAUACUGUAGGAGGUGCCGUCUUGACUGGUUUUAGCUACAAGUGAGAACUUCUCAGCAUCUAGCCUGCUCCAUUGUAUAUUAAAUGAACUUAGCUGACUGUUUGAAGACUAAGUCUCAUGAUUUAUACCCUUGUUAUGGGGUAUGCUUCUUUGCAUAUGUAAUUCUUAUAAGAUUUUUUUUUUAAUUAAAAAAUUAAUUAUAAUUAACUUUUUUUCAGCAAAAUUUUUUUUAACUAGAUUUCUAUACAAAUAAUGAAUUUAUCUAUCAUGUGCAAUUUACAGAAUGUAAAUAUCUUUUAAAAUAAAAAAGUUUUGCUGAUUUUAAGAAUAUUUUCUUCAUGAAUUUAUGAUUUUAUCCGAUCAAUUUUCUGGUAUUUGAGAUGUCAUAGAUAAGGAUCAAUAACU